rnacentral:rRNA from 1 species
AGUGAACGCUGGCGGCGUGCCUAACACAUGCAAGUCGAACGGGCUAGUGCUUCGCACUAGUCUCUUUCUGGGGUUGUUACUCUAAGACUGCCUGCUGAAGUUAUUGCUUUAAAGCAGCGGUUUUAGGGGAAUUUCCCCUAAAGGGGCCAGUGCGGAGCACUGGCCAGUGGCGAACGGGUGAGUAACACGUGGGUAAUCUACCCUCGAGUGGGGAAUAAGCUUCCGAAAGGAGGUCUAAUGCCGCAUAACGUUUCAUAACGAUGGUUAUGAAACCAAAGCCCAAAAGGCGCUUGAGGAGGAGCCUGCGUCCUAUCAGCUUGUUGGCAGGGUAAUGGCCUACCAAGGCUAUGACGGGUAGCCGGGCCUGAGAGGGUGUCCGGCCACACUGGAACUGAGACACGGUCCAGACUCCUACGGGAGGCAGCAGUGGGGAAUUUUGCGCAAUGGGGGAAACCCUGACGCAGCGACGCCGCGUGGAGGAUGACGGCCUCGGUGUAAGU